rnacentral:ncRNA from 1 species
CUCACAGAAAGUGGCUAGACCAGUGUAAAGUCAGUACAAUAAAAAUUUAAUUUUAAUUUUAUGAUCAGAGGUAUUAUAACAAUAACAUGCUACUAAAAGGAUAAAAGCUUGAAGCGAAUUUACAUGAGGCAGUGAUUAAUUUUAGAAACUAACGUAAGUUGGGUUUUGUAGAUAAUAAAAGAUCUGACAAAAAACGUGCCAGCCGUCGCGGUUAGACGUGGGGUUCAAUUAGAUCUGAGUGAGAAAAAGGGAAAUAUAAGCUAAAGAAAAUUAUUUAUUUUUGAUAUUAGUGGAAUAAUAAUUAAAAGAGUUUUAAUUUUGUUUUGAUAUCCUUAAAAAAGCUGAAUUCAAAUGGGGAUUAGAUACCCUCGUAUGCAGCUAUAAAAUUUUGUUUAUGGUAGUAACAGGUAAAGACUUGAAACUAAAAAAAAAUGGCGGUAAUGCAGGCCAUUCAGAGGAAUCUGUUCCGUAAAUGAUGAUCCGCGAGUACGCUACUAUUGUUGAAGUUUGUAUACCGUUGUUUUCAGAAAAUCACUUUAAGGGAAAAUUUUCAAUAAUGAGCUAACCCAAAGAAAUCAAAUCAAGGUGCAGCCUAUACAUUAGAGGUGAAUGGAUUACAUUGAAUAAAAUUAAAACGAAAUUAUUCUUGCAAAAAAUUAAAGAAGGUGGAUUUGAAUGUAAAAAUUUUUUAGAAAUAAAAUUUGAGUCAGGCUCUGUGUUAUGCACACAUCGCCCGUCACUCUCAAACAAUUAUUGAGAUAAGUCGUAACAAAGUAGAAGUACCGGAAGGUGUUUCUAGAAAGUAUUA